rnacentral:rRNA from 1 species
AGAGUUUGAUCCUGGCUCAGGAUGAACGCCGGCGGUGUGCCUAAUACAUGCAAGUCGUACGCACUGGCCCAACUAAUUGAUGGUGCUUGCACCUGAUUGACGAUGGAUCACCAGUGAGUGGCGGACGGGUGAGUAACACGUAGGUAACCUGCCCCGGAGCGGGGGAUAACAUUUGGAAACAGAUGCUAAUACCGCAUAACAACAAAAGCCGCAUGGCUUUUGUUUGAAAGAUGGCUUUGGCUAUCACUCUGGGAUGGACCUGCGGUGCAUUAGCUAGUUGGUAAGGUAACGGCUUACCAAGGCGAUGAUGCAUAGCCGAGUUGAGAGACUGAUCGGCCACAAUGGAACUGAGACACGGUCCAUACUCCUACGGGAGGCAGCAGUAGGGAAUCUUCCACAAUGGGCGCAAGCCUGAUGGAGCAACACCGCGUGAGUGAAGAAGGGUUUCGGCUCGUAAAGCUCUGUUGUUGGAGAAGAACGUGCGUGAGAGUAACUGUUCACGCAGUGACGGUAUCCAACCAGAAAGUCACGGCUAACUACGUGCCAGCAGCCGCGGUAAUACGUAGGUGGCAAGCGUUAUCCGGAUUUAUUGGGCGUAAAGCGAGCGCAGGCGGUUGCUUAGGUCUGAUGUGAAAGCCUUCGGCUUAACCGAAGAAGUGCAUCGGAAACCUGGCGACUUGAGUGCAGAAGAGGACAGUGGAACUCCAUGUGUAGCGGUGGAAUGCGUAGACAUAUGGAAGAACACCAGUGGCGAAGGCGGCUGUCUGGUCUGCAACUGACGCUGAGGCUCGAAAGCAUGGGUAGCGAACAGGAUUAGAUACCCUGGUAGUCCAUGCCGUAAACGAUGAGUGCUAGGUGUUGGAGGGUUUCCGCCCUUCAGUGCCGGAGCUAACGCAUUAAGCACUCCGCCUGGGGAGUACGACCGCAAGGUUGAAACUCAAAGGAAUUGACGGGGGCCCGCACAAGCGGUGGAGCAUGUGGUUUAAUUCGAAGCUACGCGAAGAACCUUACCAGGUCUUGACAUCUUGCGCUAACCUUAGAGAUAAGGCGUUCCCUUCGGGGACGCAAUGACAGGUGGUGCAUGGUCGUCGUCAGCUCGUGUCGUGAGAUGUUGGGUUAAGUCCCGCAACGAGCGCAACCCUUGUUACUAGUUGCCAGCAUUGAGUUGGGCACUCUAGUGAGACUGCCGGUGACAAACCGGAGGAAGGUGGGGACGACGUCAGAUCAUCAUGCCCCUUAUGACCUGGGCUACACACGUGCUACAAUGGACGGUACAACGAGUCGCAAACUCGCGAGAGUAAGCUAAUCUCUUAAAGCCGUUCUCAGUUCGGACUGUAGGCUGCAACUCGCCUACACGAAGUCGGAAUCGCUAGUAAUCGCGGAUCAGCAUGCCGCGGUGAAUACGUUCCCGGGCCUUGUACACACCGCCCGUCACACCAUGGGAGUUUGUAACGCCCAAAGUCGGUGGCCUAACCUUUAUGGAGGGAGCCGCCUAAGGCGGGACAGAUGACUGGGGUGAAGUCGUAACAAGGUA